CAGGUGUGCCCAUCCAGGUGUGCAGAAGGAUCCAGGUGUGCACAUCCAGGUGUGCCCAUCCAGGUGUGCAGAAGGAUCCAGGUGUGCCCAGGUGAGCCCAUCCAGGUGUGCACAAGGAUCCAGGUGAGCCCAUCCAGGUGUGCCCAUGGAUCCAGGUGUGCCCAGGUGUGCACAAGGAUCCAGGUGAGCCCAUCCAGGUGAGCCCAUCCAGGUGUGCACAAGGAUCCAGGUGAGCCCAUCCAGGUGUGCCGGCCCGGCCGUGCCGCAGCCCCCGCGCUGCCCCGGGGGUUUUUGGGGGGUCGGGGGUCCCCCGGAGGGUGGGGGAGGGGGAGACUCACAGGCUCGGGGGGGCCCCGCGGUCCGGGG